CCUACGGGUGGCAGCAGUGGGGAAUAUUGGACAAUGGGCGAAAGCCUGAUCCAGCCAUGCCGCGUGUGUGAAGAAGGCCUUCGGGUUGUAAAGCACUUUCAGUGGGGAAGAAAGCCUUGGGGCUAAUACCCUCGAGGAAGGACAUCACCCACAGAAGAAGCACCGGCUAACUCCGUGCCAGCAGCCGCGGUAAUACGGAGGGUGCGAGCGUUAAUCGGAAUUACUGGGCGUAAAGCGCGCGUAGGCGGUCUGAUAAGCCGGUUGUGAAAGCCCCGGGCUCAACCUGGGAACGGCAUCCGGAACUGUCAGGCUAGAGUGCAGGAGAGGAAGGUAGAAUUCCCGGUGUAGCGGUGAAAUGCGUAGAGAUCGGGAGGAAUACCAGUGGCGAAGGCGGUCUUAUGGACUGACACUGACGCUGAGGUGCGAAAGCGUGGGUAGCAAACAGGAUUAGAUACCCUAGUAGUC
rnacentral:rRNA from 1 species